rnacentral:sRNA from 1 species
CAGGGCCAAGCAUUUGGGGUAAUGCUCCGCCCUGUUCACAGGGUUCUGGGGGAGGCUGUUCUGCCCUUCCCUCCUGCGCUGGCUGAAGUGACGCUGGGCAUUGGCCGUGGCCGCAGGGUCAUCCUGCGCAGCUACCACGAGGAGGAGGCAGACAGCACUGCCAAAGCCAUGGUGACUGAGAUGUGCCUUGGAGAGGAGGAUUUCCAGCAGCUGCAGGCCCAGGAAGGGGUGGCCAUCACUUUCUGCCUCAAGGAAUUCCGGGGGCUCCUGAGCUUUGCAGAGUCAGCAAACUUGAAUCUUAGCAUUCAUUUUGAUGCUCCAGGCAGGCCCGCCAUCUUCACCAUCAAGGACUCUUUGCUGGACGGCCACUUUGUCUUGGCCACACUCUCAGACACCGACUCACACUCCCAGGACCUGGGCUCCCCAGAGCGUCACCAGGCAGUGCCUCAGCUCCAGGCUCACAGCAUACCCCACCCAGACGACUUUGCCAAUGACGACAUUGACUCUUACAUGAUCGCCAUGGAAACCACUAUAGGCAAUGAGGGCUCGCGGGUGCUGCCCUCCAUUUCCCUUUCACCUGGCCCCCAGCCCCCCAAGAGCCCCGGCCCCCACUCCGAGGAGGAAGAUGAGGCUGAGCCCAGUACAGUGCCUGGGACUCCCCCACCCAAGAAGGUAGGGACUGGAGGUGGAGGCAGGGGUGGGAGGUAGGGAAGGGAGCAGCCUCCAGAACUCACUUGUUCUCUUUCCAGUUCCGCUCACUGUUCUUCGGCUCCAUCCUGGCCCCUGUACGCUCCCCCCAGGGCCCCAGCCCCGUGCUGGCUGAAGACAGUGAGGGCGAAGGCUGAACCAAGAACCUGAAGCCUGUACCCAGAGGCCUUGGGACUAGACGAAGCCCCAGCCAGUGGCAGACCUGGGUCUCAGCCCUGGGGAUCAGAAAGGUGGGCUUGCUGGAGCUGAGCUGUUUCACUGCCUCUCGCAGGCCCCAGCUGGCUGUCACUAAGCUGUUCCACAGUGGUCGGGCCUGGGCCCUGUUAUCUCCCCAGAACCCCCCACCAAUCAUGACUUUCCAGACUUGGCUCUGAACUACUGACGUUCCUACCUCUUAUUUCCCAUUGAGUCUCAGGCUAUACUCCAGCUGGCCAAGGCUGGAAACCUGUCUCCCUCAGGUCCACCUUCCUAAGGAAAAUGUCACAGUAGGUGCUGCUGGCCCCUGGUGAUCCAGCUUCUCUGCCAAUCAUGACCUGUUCCUUCCUGAAGUCCUGGGCAUGCAUCUGGGACCCCCGUGGAGCUGACAGUUUUUCUUGCUUUCCUGAUACUCUGGCGCUGACUUGGAAUUCUAAGAGCCUUGGACCCAAGUGUGUGGCUAGGGUUGCCCUGGUUGGGGCCUGGUGCCCAGCCUCCCAAGCGGCUCUGUGCAGAAGAGCUGCCAGGCAGUGUCUUAGACGCUAGACAGAGGCCAUGGCGAGAAUCCAGCUUUGACCUUUAUUCAAGAGACCAGAUGGGUUGCCCCAGGAUCCGGCUGCCAGCCCUGAGGCCAAGCACGGCUGGAGACCCACGACCUGGCCUGCCGUUGCCCUGAGCUGCAGCCUCAGCCCCAGGAUCCUGCUCACAGUCACCGCAGGUGCAGGCAGGAAGCAGCCCUGGGGGACUGGAUGCUGCUAUUGAUUCAUUAAAAAAAAAAAAAAGAAAAAUA